UACGUAGGGGGGCUAGCGUUGUCCGGAAUUAUUGGGCGUAAAGAGCUCGUAGGCGGUGUGUCGCGUCGGCUGUGAAAACCCGCAGCUCAACUGUGGGCUUGCAGCUGAUACGGGCGGGCUGGAGUUCGGUAGGGGAGACUGGAAUUCCUGGUGUAGCGGUGAAAUGCGCAGAUAUCAGGAAGAACACCCGUGGCGAAGGCGGCUCUCUGGAACGCAACUGACGCUGAGACGCGAAAGCGUGGGGAGCAAACAGG
rnacentral:rRNA from 1 species